rnacentral:rRNA from 1 species
UACAGAGGAUGCAAGCGUUAUCCGGAAUGAUUGGGCGUAAAGCGUCUGUAGGCGGCUUUUUAAGUCCGCCGUCAAAUCCCAGGGCUCAACUCUGGACAGGCGGUGGAAACUACCAAGCUGGAGUACGGUAGGGGCAGAGGGAAUUUCCGGUGGAGCGGUGAAAUGCGUAGAGAUCGGGAAGAACACCAACGGCGAAAGCAGUCUGCUGGGCCGACACUGACACUGAGAGACGAAAGCGAGGGGAGCGAAUGGG